ACGCUCGACACCUACGGGAGGAGCAGUAGGGAAUCUUCCACAAUGGGCGCAAGCCUGAUGGAGCAACACCGCGUGAGUGAAGAAGGGUUUCGGCUCGUAAAGCUCUGUUGUUGGAGAAGAACGUGCGUGAGAGUAACUGUUCACGCAGUGACGGUAUCCAACCAGAAAGUCACGGCUAACUACGUGCCAGCGCGCGAGUAUGNGNGGCGNGNGACGAGC
rnacentral:rRNA from 1 species